rnacentral:rRNA from 1 species
UACGUAGGGUGCGAGCGUUGUCCGGAAUUAUUGGGCGUAAAGAGCUCGUAGGCGGUCUGUCGCGUCGGUCGUGAAAACUUGGGGCUUAACCCUGAGCUUGCGGUCGAUACGGGCAUGACUGGAGUUCGGCAGGGGAGACUGGAAUUCCUGGUGUAGCGGUGAAAUGCGCAGAUAUCAGGAGGAACACCAAUGGCGAAGGCAGCUCGCUGGGACGGUACUGACGCUGAGACGCGAAAGCGUGGGGAGCAAACAGG